rnacentral:lncRNA from 1 species
AGUAGUUUCUUAAGGAGAGGCUUUGACCAAAGUGGGAGAGUGUCACGACCAAAUUUUCCCUCCGUUUGGUAUCGUGAUAGCACCUAGUCUUAGGGACUAGGUAAGCCUAACAUUAAUUGAAACAACACUAUUUAAAUAACAUCUAACUAGUUAAAUAGAAAUCUCUUACAAUUCCCAAAACCGGUAGUACAAGUCAUAAGCUCUACAGAGUGUUUGCUAGAAAAUUUCUAAAAUACAACUGUCCAGAAAUAAGAAUAAACAGUGCAAAAUGAAAACUUGAAGGUGACUCCGAAGCCUGCGAAUGCAGUGGCAGGUUUACCUUGAGUCUCCGCAGCAAAACUCCACACAACUAGCUGACGAACAAAUACUUGGAUCUGUACAAAAGAUGUGCAGAAGAGUAGCAUGAGCACACCACAGCGGUGCCCAGUAAGUAUCAAGGCUAACCUCGGUGGGGUAGUGAUGAGGAACAGUCAAGAUACCCACUGGUCUAAUAAACUAAACGGGUACAGUAUAUGAACAUCAGGAGUAUGAUGUCUACAUAAUCUUCAAGACAAAUAUCCGAAGGAUGAUCUUCGAAGAGGUUUAGAGUGGUAGCGAUCUAUUGGUUCAAGUGCUACAGAGAUGGAUUUGAUUUACGACAACAACUGGGCAUGUAUGAGGAAGGACAUGUGUGAGGUGUCUUGCGGUGGUUAAAUUUCUAGGAGGCCAAGUGUGAAAAGCAGAAGUCGAGUAGUUGCUUAAGGAGAGGGUUUGACCAAAGUGGGAGAGUGUCACGACUCAAUUUUUCCUCCGUUUGGUAUCGUGAUGGCACCUAGUCUUAGGGACUAGGUAAACCUAACAUUAAUUGAAACAACACUAUUUAAAUAACAUCUAACAAGUUAAAUAGAAAUCUCUUACAAUUCUCAAAAACAGUAGUACAAGUCAUAAGCUCUUACAGAGUGUUUGCUAGAAAACUUCUAAAUACAACUGUCCAGAAAUAAGAAUAAACAGUGCAAAACGAAAACUUGAAGAUGAUUCCGAAGCCUGCGAACGCAGCGGAAGGUUUACCUUGAGUCUCCACAACAAUAGUCCACAUUGCUAGAUAACGAACAAAUACUUGGAUCUGCACAAACAAUGUGCAGAAGAGUAGCAUAAGUACACCACAGCGGUGCCCAGUAAGUAUCAAGGCUAACCUCGGUGGGGUAGUGACGAGGAACAAUCAAAACACCCACUAGUCUAAUAAACUAAAUGGGUACAGUAUAUGAACAACAUGAGUAUGAUGUCUACAUAAGGACUAUGCAAUAUGGCU